rnacentral:rRNA from 1 species
UACGUAGGGGGCAAGCGUUGUCCGGAUUCAUUGGGCGUAAAGAGCGUGUAGGCGGCCAGGUAGGUCGGUUGUGAAAACUGGAGGCUCAACCUUCAGACGUCGAUCGAAACCAUCUGGCUAGAGUCCGGGAGAGGAGAGUGGAAUUCCUGGUGUAGCGGUGAAAUGCGCAGAUAUCAGGAAGAACACCCGUGGCGAAGGCGGCUCACUGGUCCGGUACUGACGCUGAGGUGCGAAAGCGUGGGGAGCAAACAGG